rnacentral:RNase_P_RNA from 1 species
GGAGUUGACUAGACAAUCGCCCAAUUCUUAUUGGGAGGAAAGUCCGGGCUCUAACGGGUACGAUGCCAGGUAAUACCUGGAAGGCGUGAGCCUAUGGAAAGUGCAUCAGAAAAUAAACCGCUUUAAUUUAGCAAGGGUGAAAAGGUGUGGUAAGAGCGCACCGCAUAAAUGGUAACAUUUAUGGCAUUGCAAACCCCAUCGAGAGCAAGACCAAAUAUAGGAGUAAUGAUUUCCCGUGAUCACUCCAGGGUAGGUUGCUAGAGGUACUUGGUGACAAGUAUCCUAGAUGAAUGAUUGUCCAAGACAGAACCCGGCUUAUCGGUUAACUCCAUAU